GUCAGCCACAAGAUGCAUGUUCAACCGCAAUUGUUAUGUGAUGCAAUAUAUGCCUGAGUUGCGAUAUGGAACACAAAGCAGAUGAUUAGUCUGCAAGGAUAUACAAGGCUGAACGUUUUUGAUUAUUGGGAAUGCGUUAAAUAUUUGUUUUUUGUGAAACAUUUAAUGUCUCGUUCUUUGAAUACUUAGCAGUGACGAGAUAACUUUCGCGUUUUUGAUACUUAUUGUUUUUCUUAGUCAAGAUAAAGGUGGCAGAUUUUUGGAAAGAAAACAAACGGUGAAUAGUGUUAAAUACACGUUUUACAAUGGAAAACGACUAAACCUUGGAUGGAGAAAACACAUCGCAGACAUCGGGCAAUGUUACAUGCGGAAAUGUGCUGCUUACUUUGGUUUGUGGAUAUUGCAGCUCGAUCGAGGAGAAUAAAAAGCCCUUGGGUGUCUGUGAUUGGACCGGACACUGACUGGGGCUGACUGAUGUUUGUCCAGGAGGAAAUGUUUUCGGGGGAGAUCAAUACUGAGUUUGCUGCUGCUCACAGGAGAUCACAAUGAAGCUGUCUGGCACAGCUAAGGGGACUGGUCCGUGGUUUAACUCGGUCAGUAAUGACGUAGGUCAGGAUCUGUUUCCUUACUGCCCAGAUGGGACCAUGUCUGGACAUAAUGGUGGCCGGGUCCAGAAGCUCGCAGCUGUGGUUCCUGUGCCGCUUUAUGUGGACUGUGGCUGGUGUGUGGAGGAGGGUGGAAACGAGCUGCAGAUCAGGUUAGGAGCAUCGAGCCGCUUGAUUGCCAAGCUGGACGUCUGAAGAGCUGAUUUGAGUCAUUGAGUACCUCAAGCCAUUGAGUACCUGCUCAAGCAGACAGGAGAGCCUAUGCAGAGGUAGACAGACCAGCUUCUGGAGGCCCGGGAUGAGGAACAUGAGGAUGAGGGCUUUGAGGACUACACACUGGACCUCAAAGUCAGAAGUCUCCAGGGUGACCUCACCACCAUCCCCGCUGAUGUCUUUCCUUCCAGCACCGCCUGGCCCUGCUGUAUCCAUCCUGUCUGCCGUGUCCAGUGACCAUCCUGCUCCACUCCAAGUCCAGCCUUCAACUUACACUGCCCGGGAUUUUACCCAACCCAUCUGUUUCCCAGAUGUCUCCCCUCUGGUGGCUGAAGAGCAGUUGGUAACACCAAGAUAAUUACUUGAUUUUCCUUUCCAGACUGUUGUUUCACAUCCACUGAGUUAAAGACAGUAUAAAAUUAUCAACAUUUACAGACAUGACAAAUGGAAACCACAGAAAAAUCUAAUAUAUACUCAAGCUGCAGCAAAAUUGAAUUUUAUAUAUUCUUGACUAUAUCCCAUUAGGUCUCCAGCAAUAAUGUCAAAAUAUGUUUCAGGCUGUGGAUAAGCAAAACUUACUGAUAGAUCUGUUUGACAGCCUGGCUGAAUGUCCAGUGGAGCUGAGGAAACAGACCAGCCUCAACCUUAACAACCAGCAGAUCAGAAUUUAAUUAUAUUCUAGCUAGCCCAGAAAAAGGGCUUUUUAAUAUUUGAAACCAACAUGAGUGACUGGAUCUGGAUUUAUUUAUUUAUCUAUGCCACAUGUCACACAUUUUGGGUUAUCACUUUUCCUUUCCCUUUUAGGUCAGUUACAAUGUCUGGCUGUGACAGACCAGUGAAUGUUUUUUUCUUCUGUUUGGGAAAGAGGGGACCCAAAGGUCACCAGUUUGAAUCUGGCCUCAACCAGAAUUACAAUCUCUUCACAACCACUGUAUUAUUCACAUUUCUGACUUUAAGGUUACUUGAGCUACUGAAUAAAUUAUGGCAGCAUAAUUAUUAUACAUAGAAGUGAAAAUCCUUGUUACCUUUCUCAUGCAUAUAUUAUCUUGAAUGAGUAACAGUUGCUUGUAGAAUGUGUACUGGAUGACACAAUUAUAGAUACAGUUAACUCUAUGAAACACAUUAUGAAAGUGAAGAAUAACAGACUUCUAAAGAAAAGUAUUUAGAAAAAUUCAAUGAUAUAAAGACAUUUAUUAAAGACAAAUGUAAAACACAUAGGUUUCCUAUGGGCCUUUGGUAAUGAGUGGGCAGUGCAGCAGAGUGAAUGACAAAAGUAUCCAAACACAUACAGUUGCAGAAUCCAUCCAUGCAGUGGGAAGAGAAACCAAAAUUAUACAGAUGAUAAAGUUAUUAUGAAUGAUAUAGCUAUAUGUAAAAUAGUGAUGCUGUAUGAGGCAGUUGAUAUGGGUGACACGGAUCCAAUAGUAUAUUAAAACAAGUGAUGCUGUGUGAGACAGAUAUGGAUGACAAAGAUCAAAAGGCGAUAUGAAAACUACUAAUGUUAGUCACCAGUGUUCUGCCUGGGUGGGUUUGGCUGGCAGGAGACUGACUCAGCAGAACAUCCCUGGAUGUCAUCUGGCCCUGCCUUCUCUUCAUUCAAGGAAUCUGGAGAGCAACAUGAUUCAUCAUUGUCUCCCUCUGCACCUUCCCGUCUGGGAUGGCGAAAAGGGAGAAAAAAGAAGAAAGGGAGAAAUGCAAUAUUCAGUUUUUACACAAAAGUCACUGUAGCUACUAAGGGGGAGAGAUGUAUACACUUUGAUUACUGGAAUAUAGAUUACUUGGUGUGUGGGUUAUGUUUUCAACUCACCCUCUGGGUUUUUCAUUUCUGAUGUGCUUCAUUAGUGUUGUGCGGGUCUCAGAGGCAGAUACUGUCCUCAGAACUCUUGUCCGUCUUCACCUGAACAAUAACAACAACAAUCACAUUAAUACUCACAGAUUUGGUAUGCAGUGUAAAAAUUGAGGUACGCAGUGCCCAGUGGAAGGUUAGGGAUAUUUUGUAUGAAGGUCGAUACUGCAAGCCCAGACUGUUCUGCUUCACGUUGCAAUCAGCUUGACAUGGAAAUCAUUGUGAUAAGUUGUCUUAUGGCAAAGCUACAUUUUACUUGAAUAUAUUGUAUGAGAAUGAAUGCUUUGCUAUUCAAAGUGUUAGGUUUGCAAAGCUAAAGUCAGAUGAAUCUACCAUCUAACCUUUUAGAUAGUAGGUAUUAAAACCAUCCACUAAAAAUAUAUAUUUUUUGAUAGUUGAAGUUUGUUAGUGGAUGGUUAGCAUGCAUUGGAUUAUAUUGGAACAAACUGUACCUAUGAGGUCCAGCUGAGCUAGGUAGCUAGAUAAUAAGGUUAUUCCACACAGUUAGUGUUGUGGAAAUUCUUGAACUGAUGUAUACUUGGUCCUAUGCAUAUAUGAGGCAGGUAUAUAUUGCAAAUGGCCAGCAUGAAAUCAUUAUUUAUUCAUAAUGUGCACACUUUCAAAGUGCUAGCAUUAACAACUACAUUGACACAAAUGCAAAAUUACCUUAUGGAUAUUUCAGUAUGGCAGAAACUGAGGCAGCUGUGAGUGUCAUCAACCACCUAAUGUCGAUUAUGUCUGUUUAUGAAAAUCUCAUCUGAUUCCUUAUAAACAGGUCCCACCUCUGAGAGUUGUUUUCCCACUCUUUCUUUGCCUGCUCAUAAAUAAACCUAUUUUUGUCAAAGAAAGGA